rnacentral:rRNA from 1 species
GAUGAACGCUGGCGGCAUGCUUUACACAUGCAAGUCGGACGGGAAGUGGUGUUUCCAGUGGCGUACGGGUGAGUAACGCGUAAGAACCUGCCCUUGGGAGGGGAACAACAGCUGGAAACGGCUGCUAAUACCCCGUAGGCUGAGGAGCGAAAGGAGGAAUCCGCCCAAGGAGGGGCUCGCGUCUGAUUAGCUAGUUGGUGAGGUAAUAGCUUACCAAGGCCGUGAUCAGUAGCUGGUCCGAGAGGAUGAUCAGCCACACUGGGACUGAGACAAGGACCAGACUCCUACGGGAGGCAGCAGUGGGGAAUUUUCCGCAAUGGGCGAAAGCCUGACGGAGCAAUGCCGCGUGGAGGUAAAAGGCCUACGGGUCAUGAACUUCUUUUCCUGGAGAAGAAACAAUGACGGUAUCUGGGGAAUAAGCAUCGGCUAACUCUGUG